GGGACUUUGGGAUGAUGAGCAGUCGCAUUGACAGCAACAUCUCCGCUCUGUCGCCCCGCGCCUGUCAGCAGUCUCUGGGAACCAACCGGGACUCCGCCAAACUUCAUGGGCGCUGACCGACCGCGCGUGCUGCCCAGCCAUCUUGCCAAACGGUCGGGCAGAGUUUAGUGACCUACUUCGGAGCAAAAGUUCCCACCUCACAAACUAUUUGGUGAAGAUCGGUGUUCAUUUUGAACAUUUGAUAUAAACGCGUUUUGCAUCUAAGGCGCGCGCGAAGGAGAGGACACUAAAGUACAAACGCUUGGACACUGGACACCCGAGGGAAGAAUUAGGGAAGUUGUUGGCCAUGCAGCUGGUGUUGUCAAAUGAGCUGAGGAGGAAGAGAAGGCUGUUUAGUCACAUGAGAUGGAGUUCACUCAUUCUGUCCACUGCAAGGGAGAAUCUGUGGAGUUGAGGCACCGCUCGCAGACCUCAGACCCACCUCUGAGGUGUGAUGUGACCAUAAGGAGUCUGGAGGCUGCAGCCUAGUCAUGGAGCAUGAUAUAAUAAUGGGCCUGUCCGUGUGGGCCAUUAUAGCCAUUGCUUGUAACUCUGUGGUGGGCAUCCUCAUCCUCAUCCUAUUCGUCAUCCUCUACAAGGCCUGCAAGGUGCCUUCACACCAAGAAAAAGAAGCAGUUUUCACAGCAUUGCCAGAGAAGAAAAAGGCUGAACAGAAGCUACCUGCUGACUGCAGCCUGAUCAUGACGGACACAGACUAAGAUGUUGACAUAAUUCAACUUUGUCCAUCUAGUACAUUCCAAAAGUUGAGUGUUGGAGGACAAGCUGGACUCUGAACUGUCAGUGAUCUUCUUUAUUUCUCUUCCUCUUCAACAAACCAAGACAUUACACUCAGUAACUCCUUUUGUUUUACAUCAACAUGCAUGUUCACAUUUCUGCACCAUCAUUCAGCGUAGCUCAAAGUGAGCUAACUGCAUGAAGGGUUGCAGCAAGGCCAACAACAACAACAGCAAGCAGGCCCAAUCCUCUUAUCUCUGCUGUGCGUCGCUGGGACUAUCCAUCUGUCAGUCUGUUUGCUUUGCUCUACACAGGCUGACCAUGAUCUCUUCCUCGACUGCGUCCUGUUUCAUCCCUCCAUGUGACACCACUGAGAGGAUGUGGAGGAGAAACUGCAAAGACACUUUGUAUUGUAACAUAACAGUUUGCGGUGAUGAGGAUGGUUGAGAGUCACGAAAACAUGUUAGAGGUAAAGAGAUAAAGUAGCUCACAAGCGGUUUGGUGUUUGCCAGCUGCAGCACUAAUGACGACAACGACAGAGCUGCCAAAACCAAAAGCCUGAAAGAGUCAGGAAGGAAGAGAGAUGCUGCUGGGGAAAGUGUGUGAGAGUUACAACAGGGCAGAGAGGGAGACAGACGGAGAUAAAGGACGGAUAUUUUGUGGGGAUGAUAAAAUUCUGGGGAAGAAUCUAAGAGGGGAUGCUUUGAUGUUGUUGUUUACAGAGAGGGAGCUCGAGGCUCCUGUCUGACAGUCUGCCUAUUUGACACACAAGCUUCCACCAAUCCGACUCCCAUGAGAUUAAAAGCAGCAGCAAAAAUGUUUCUCAUGUCCCAGUGUGCCUCUCUUUCAUUUUGUUAGCUCCUCUUAAGAUUAAAUAAGAUAUUUAUACACAGCCUUCCCCAGAAAUGACAGACUGACUGAACACAAGUGAAUAUUGUAUUUAUUGGAGUGAAUGUACUUCCGCUAACACACUUACUGUGCGAUGUCAAUGUUGUCUAAAGGAUGGAAGAGAGACAAUGUGACAAGCCAGACAUGUGUAUCUCCACAUCAUCGGAAUAAAGAGAGCUGCAUAUCUCAAGAUGUUUAUUAAUGAAAGGGCUUUAUUUUGUCUGUACUUGUACUUGUCAGUGAGUUCAUAUGAGUUAACUUGCUAAAAUAAAGAUAUUCUGAUUUGAUAUUCAGAACUUUCUGCUCUACUUAUUAACAUGAUAUUUCUGUACAUGUAAUGAUGAACAGUAAUCUGUGUUAAAGUGACUCGUUUGGUAUUUGAUAAAUCAUUUAAAUCAUCACCAUUAAGGUAUUGUUGCACUGUUGUAAUUGCCAUUGUGCUCUAUGCCUUGUGAUACUAAUGAUAGUUUAUUUUUGACUGACUCAAUAAAUUCUUUACUAUUGUUUGUUA